UAGAGUUUGAUCCUGGCUCAGGAUGAACGCUAGCGGCAGGCUUAACACAUGCAAGUCGAGGGGUAACAGGAAAAAGCUUGCUUUUUUGCUGACGACCGGCGCACGGGUGCGUAACGCGUAUACAAUCUACCUUUUACAGAGGGAUAGCCCAGAGAAAUUUGGAUUAACACCUCAUGGUAUCAUUUGAUGGCAUCAUUAAAUGAUUAAAACUUCGGUGGUAAAAGAUGAGUAUGCGUUCUAUUAGCUAGUAGGUAAGGUAACGGCUUACCUAGGCAACGAUAGAUAGGGGUCCUGAGAGGGAGAUCCCCCACACUGGUACUGAGACACGGACCAGACUCCUACGGGAGGCAGCAGUGAGGAAUAUUGGACAAUGGAGGUAACUCUGAUCCAGCCAUGCCGCGUGCAGGAAGACUGCCCUAUGGGUUGUAAACUGCUUUUGUACAGGAAGAAACCUUUCCACGUGUGGAGAGCUGACGGUACUGUAAGAAUAAGCAUCGGCUAACUCCGUGCCAGCAGCCGCGGUAAUACGGAGGAUGCAAGCGUUAUCCGGAAUCAUUGGGUUUAAAGGGUCCGUAGGUGGAUCGGUCAGUCAGAGGUGAAAUCCUGCAGCUCAACUGUAGAAUUGCCUUUGAUACUGGUUAUCUUGAGUCAUUAUGAAGUGGUUAGAAUGUGUAGUGUAGCGGUGAAAUGCAUAGAUAUUACACAGAAUACCGAUUGCGAAGGCAGAUCACUAAUAAUGUACUGACACUGAGGGACGAAAGCGUGGGGAGCGAACAGGAUUAGAUACCCUGGUAGUCCACGCCGUAAACGAUGGUCACUAGCUGUUUGGACUUACUUCGGUCUGAGUGGCUAAGCGAAAGUGAUAAGUCACCCACCUGGGGAGUACGUUCGCAAGAAUGAAACUCAAAGGAAUUGACGGGGGCCCGCACAAGCGGUGGAGCAUGUGGUUUAAUUCGAUGAUACGCGAGGAACCUUACCAGGGCUUAAAUGUAAUAUGACGGAUUUAGAGAUAGAUCUUUCUUCGGACUACUUACAAGGUGCUGCAUGGUUGUCGUCAGCUCGUGCCGUGAGGUGUCAGGUUAAGUCCUAUAACGAGCGCAACCCCUGUUGUUAGUUGCCAGCGAGUCAUGUCGGGAACUCUAACAAUACUGCCGGUGCAAACUGUGAGGAAGGUGGGGAUGACGUCAAAUCAUCACGGCCCUUACGUCCUGGGCUACACACGUGCUACAAUGGUAGGGACAGAGAGCAGCCACUUCGCGAGAAGGAGCGAAUCUACAAACCCUAUCUCAGUUCGGAUCGCAGUCUGCAACUCGACUGCGUGAAGCUGGAAUCGCUAGUAAUCGCAUAUCAGCCAUGAUGCGGUGAAUACGUUCCCGGGCCUUGUACACACCGCCCGUCAAGCCAUGGAAGCUGGGGGUGCCUGAAGUCGGUGACCGAAAGGAGCUGCCUAGGGUAAAACUGGUAACUGGGGCUAAGUCGUAACAAGGUAGCCGUA
rnacentral:rRNA from 1 species